CUUCGGUGCCACCCCCCACCAUAAAUAAUGACCGGUCCCUAAAGGCAUUUGCCAGAAACGCACAAUUCAAAUUGCAAAAUUGUCAAUUUUUUGUUUUCGCAAUUUUGUGAAUUAUUAUAAAGUAUUUUACGUUUCAUGUGAGUGUCGUAUAUUGCGCAGUUUGGACGCUUCUAAACUGUCUAACUCCCUAACUAUUUUGCGCACGCGACGGACCAUAUUAUCCGCAUGCAACCGCCCUGAAAAGGAAUAUCCCCGAAGAUAUUGAGCCGGAAUAACCGCCAUAAGAGAGGGGACCUAGUCACUGGUAGCGGACUAUUUUUCAUGAAGUAAGACCGGCUACCAGGAAAAUACAUGCUUUACCUUACUACGGGAGAGAAAAUGUUUAAAAAAACUUUGCCACCAUAAUUGUCUUAUUCUCGCCGAUCCAAACGACCAACAUGAUUUCCACCAAGUCUUCUUACGGGUACCAUUUGCACCCUCUAAGCUAUGGGUACCAUUUGUACCCCCUAACCUCAAGACAAACGAUGCCAGUUUUUUGAAAAAAAAGGUUUAGGCCCCGUUUACAUGAGACCGGGACGAAAAUUGAAAUUGUCAAUAUCUUUACAUGAGACCGGUACGAAAAUCACAAAAUUUUCAACUUAUUCCCCUUGCCAGGGCAAUUUUCUUUUUCAGAUGGCUUUGUUAGCAUGUGUUGUUCCAAUGUCAAGGUUACAGCCGAGACCGGUCUGAAAUGUAUUUCUGUUUACAUUCAUCCCCGUCUGAAUUCAUGCCGGUCUGAAGUCAGUCGGUUCGGUUCAGCAGGCGGAAUGACUUGAGACCGGGCUGAGUUAUUUUCGUCCCGGUCUCAUGUAAACAUCUAUUAUAAAUAAUACUGUGACCGAAACGAAAUGGUCCCGGUUUGACUUCGUUCCGGUCUCAUGUAAACAGGGCCUUAGAUGAGGAAAGUGACAAAUUUCUUUUUCACUAACAAAGCGACAAGAUAUUACAAAGAAUCAAACAACAAUUUCCAAUCGUCGUUCUAUUUCGAAAGACAAAACUCUGGCAAAGCUUUUCUUGUACACAUCCUGCCUCAUGACCCUGUCUAAACUGUUGCAUUGCUGCACUUGUUAUGCGUGUGCACAAAGGCAGUAUAUAUAGAAUAUAUAUAGAACCAUGCAAUAACCAUACACUCAAAUGUUCCUUUUUUUUUCAGAUCGGUUAUCAAAUUCAGAAGCUGACGAAUUUCGAAAUUACAGUUUUUGCAGGGAAAAUCAUCGUUAUAAACUUUCUUUCAAGCUAUCAAAGUCUACUGAACAGAAAAUAGAUCGAAUUUGUAAAUAUACUGAACAUUUAGACCGCCAGGAUUUAUGCCGGAUUUCAUUGUACCCAGAACAAAAAACAAACAAACAAUGGCCUGGAUACAAGUAUCUACAGCCUGUUCGCAGGCAAACAAGAAAGAACAGUACCUGAAAAUAGACAUUUCUGUGACCUUUGUAUGUCCAUCAACUGAAUAUCCAUUACGGGGCCAUAUUUAUCCAUCAUAGUUUCUUUGUAUCCAUUUAUUAUAGUCACAAAUAUCCACUGCUGGUCAUGAACAUUUAUCAAUCCUUUCAUUUCAUCCGAGAACUACUGUCUUUGGUGUAUCGUUGUAAUUUGAUUAGAAAUAGAGGUAUUCCCUCAUGUAUUGCUCUUCGAGGCAUGUCAUCUUGGUAACAUGAUAUUUUAUAAAUCAAUAUUUCAUCAGCACGUUCAAGUAAUGAUCUGUAA
rnacentral:lncRNA from 1 species